rnacentral:misc_RNA from 1 species
AAGGAUCAUUAUCGAAUAAAUAUGCACAGGCUGUUGCUGGCCCUUGGGGCAUGUGCACGCUUGUCAUCUUUGUUUCUCCAACUGUGCACGUAUUGUAGACCUGGGGGGGGGAUUGGAUUUGUAACUCCGAGUUGGGACUGCUGUAGCUUCAGUUGAAGUCGGCUUUGCCUUGCACUUCCAGGUUCUAUGUUAUUUUUCUUCACACACCUCUGUCUAGAAUGUUGAACCAGGUCCUUUUGUACCUAUAAAGUUGAAUAUACAACUUUCAGCAACGGAUCUCUUGGCUCUC